CCACCACCCUCACCCUGCCAGAAGCAAAAAAUUCGCGUCUGGCAGGGUAGUAGGAGCGUGCCCCCUUCAACCCAGUAUAAAGGGGGCACUGUAGCACUCACCCCAAGGAGCCACAACCUGCAAGCCAAAAAACAAGCAAUAAAAAAAAAAACCCUAGUCCCUCGCAGUCGAAUACCACAACAAAAAUUUUUCUCUACUAUUCUAACAGCCAAAAACAACCAAAAUCCAUAAAUCAAAAAAUGUACCAAAAAAAAAGUACUAAAAAAGGUUCACAAAGAGAAAAGAAGAAAAUGAAGGCUUUGUUUUGGUGCCGCCAGCUGUGAAAGUUGGAUUUGGGCUUUAGGUGGUUCAAAUCGGAGGUGAGGGGGACCUCUUUGUACCACCGGUGGUGGGUUAUUUGUCGCCGGAUUAGGAGAAGAGGAAGCUGAUUUGGGCGACCCCAUCGGUUGGGGAAAGCUGACCUUUGGGGAGCGACGUCGGCAUGAAGCUGAGAGGAGUUGAGAGCUUGGGUGAGCUUGGGUUGCUGCCUGUCGAUCAUAGAGAGAAGGUCGGUCAUAGAGAGAAGGUCGGUCAUUUGGGGCAACCGAUCUGGGAUCUACCAGCGCAGGAAAGAGAAAAAGGGGUACCGACGACGCUACAGGCUUGGGGCUAGCUACCGUCGGGUUUUGGGGAGUGUUAGAGCUUGGGUUUGGAAGGUGAGUCACGUCGGCGACGUCGAGCGGCAAGGAGAGUCCUGUUUUGGGGUUGGCCGGCGACUUGGUAGAGAGAAAGGAGAGAGUUUGGGUUCUAGAGAGAGAGACAAAAAGGAGAAAAUGGGAAGAAAGGAAGAAAAUGAAGCUUAAAUAGUUAAGAGCUGGGGCAUGUGAAACGGUAUCGUUUUGGGCACUAGGAGGCUAAAUUCUUGAAGCAGGCUUACAAGCUUUUUGGAUCAGUCUGAUCCAUCUUGAGCCGGGUUGGGCUAAAGCUUUGGGGAGAGUUAUAAACGUGGAAUUGGGCUUGAAAAAAUGAGCCUGAAACUGGAGGCAGGGAAAGGGAGGCCCAUUUCUUAAAGGUUUAGGCUUAUUGGGACACUUCUUCUAGGCCGAAUCUUCCGGACCUAUGCAUAAUUUAGAACCUGAUUUGUUCUUAUGAAUGAAUGAUAGGUUGGGCCAAUGAUCAUUCUCAAGAGAAAGAAAAUGAGCAACAAAUUCAUUUAAAAAAAAAAAAAAAGAAGAAAAAGGCAAUUCCAUCCAUAUCCAGCAAGGGACAAGGGGAGCAAAUAGCAAAGGUAGCUGUGUUAAUUUGGUGUUGCCAAUGAUUCCAGUUGCAAGGAAGAAGUCAGGCAGUCAAUCCAAAAUCGAAAAAACUGCUUUGUUAUGUAUCCGUGCAAGGCUAGGCAUGGGCCUUAGGCAAUAACACCACACCGUCGUCUUUUGGCAAUUUAGCAGACAUGUUGCUUCGUUUUGAAGGCAAUUCAGGUCUGUUGUCAACUCUUUUGAGGCAGACUUUGCAACUAUAAUUACUAAUGUUUUUCAUAACCCGACCCACUCUUGAAUCCAUUGGAGGUUUGGUUUUCGGUCCACCCGAUUUAAUUAGUUGUUGCAGUUCGAUGUCCCGUUUCUUGUCUGAAAUAUUUGUUUGGUAUAAAAUACAUUCACAGAUGAAAGAGUGUGAAAAUAUACAAGUUUUACUUUGCUGCUAA